rnacentral:rRNA from 1 species
UAGCUAACUGAAAUCAAAAGUGUGUCACUUUUGAUAAGGUAAAGGAAAAUAAAUGAUACUACUUUACUAUUAGUGUCGUCCAAGUACUCGUGCCAGAAGACUCGGUAAGGCGAGAGACGCAAACGUUAGUCGUCUUGAUCAGGCGUAAAGGGUUUGUAGGCGGCUUUAAGAAUGGAUUCCAUCUAAAUAACAUUACUUUAUUUUUAAAGUAACGACAUCGGAAGGGAAAAAUCAAUUAAAGCUAGAAUCAAAUAGAGGUCAAAUUAAAUAAUACUUGGUGUAAGAUUGGUAUCUUUAAAAACCAAGCGGAAUACUAACGGCGAAGGCUUUUUUCCAUUAAUGAUUGACGCUGAGAAACUAAGGUGAGGACAGAAAAAAGGAUUAGAGACCCUCGUAUUCCUCACUGUCAACGAUGAAUGGUAGUUACUAGUUAUAAUGAAAAAAAAAAAUAAAAACAAAACUAGAGACGAUGUUAACACGUAAACCAUUCCGCCUUGUGAGUACGACUGCAAAGUUGAAAACAAAAAAAUUAGUCGGUUUCGGAGCAAACGAAGUGAAGCAUGUUAUUUAAUUCGAUAAUCCGC